rnacentral:rRNA from 1 species
CUAUCAGCUUGUUGGUGAGGUAAUGGCUCACCAAGGCGACGACGGGUAGCCGGCCUGAGAGGGCGACCGGCCACACUGGGACUGAGACACGGCCCAGACUCCUACGGGAGGCAGCAGUGGGGAAUAUUGGGCAAUGGACGCAAGUCUGACCCAGCGACGCCGCGUGCGGGAUGAAGGCCUUCGGGUUGUAAACCGCUUUCAGCAGGGAAGAAGCGAAAGUGACGGUACCUGCAAAAGAAGCACCGGCUAACUAUGUGCCAGCAGCCGCGGUAAUACAUAGGGUGCAAGCGUUGUCCGGAAUUAUUGGGCGUAAAGAGCUCGUAGGUGGUUAGUUACGUCGGGUGUGAAACUCUGGGGCUCAACCCCAGACCUGCACUCGAUACGGGCUAGCUAGAGUUUGGUAGGGGAGACUGGAAUUCCU